rnacentral:rRNA from 1 species
UUGAGACGCGGCAUACGGCUCAGUAACACGUGGUUAACCUACCCUCAGGACGGGGACAAACCCGGGAAACUGGGGCUAAUACCAGAUAGGCGAGGACGCCUGGAAUGGUUCUUCACCCAAAGGGCUUUGGAAACAUGCUUUUCAAAGUCGCCUGGGGAUGGGGCCGCGUCCGAUCAGGUUGUUGGUGAGGUAAUGGCUCACCAAGCCUAUAACCGGUACGGGCCGUGAGAGCGGUAGCCCGGAGAUGGGCACUGAGACAAGGGCCCAGGCCCUACGGGGCGCAGCAGUCGCGAAAACUCCGCAAUGCACGAAAGUGUGACGGGGCUACCCCGAGUGCCGUCCGCUGAGGAUGGCUUUUCCUCGGUGUAACUAGCCGGGGGAAUAAGGAGAGGGCAAGACUGGUGUCAGCCGCCGCGGUAAUACCAGCUCUCCGAGUUGUAGGGAUGAUUAUUGGGCUUAAAGCGUCCGUAGCUGGCUUAGCAAGUCUCCNUGUUAAUUCAGCGACCUAAUCGUUGAG